UCUGCAGGGCUGCUCUCCAGCCACUCCUCUCCCAGUUCAGACUUGUGUCUGCAAUUACUCCAUCCAGGUGCAGAAUCCAGCAUUUGGUUGGUCUUGCUCAGCUUCAUGUCCCUGGUGACUGCUCAAGACUCCAAUCAAUCCAGAUCCCUCUGCAAGCCUCCAGAUCACUGAUAAAGAGUCUGAACAGAGCUGCCUCUAGACCUGAGCUGCCUCUAGAACCUGAGGAACACCACUGGUAACUGGUCACCAGCCAGAUGUCCUGUUUGCUGCAAUAAUUUGAGCCCUGCUCUUCAACCAACUCAUCACCCAGUGCACUGCAUACCUGCUCAUCCCACUGUUGGAAAACUUGUCUGGAAGGGGGCUUUGAGGGACAGUAUCAAAAGCCUUUCUAAACCCCAUUAAAACUGGGGGCUUAAAUCCAGUGUCUUCACUUCAUCCAGGCAGAUGACCUUAUCGUAGAAGGUUAUGGGACUUUCCCUUUGUGAACCCAUGUUGUCUGUGUCUGAUGACUGCAUUGUUUUUCAAAUGUCUUUUAAUAAAACCCAGCAUGAUUUUCUCCAUAAUUUUUUACAGGUACUGAGGUUAGACUAACACGUCUGUAGUUUCCUUGGUCUUCUCUCUUGCCUUUCUUGGAAACUGGUGUAACCUGGGCUAAUUUUUAAUUGGUGGGGCCUCCUAAGACCUUUUGUAGAUGAUUGAGAGUAGUCAUGUUGUAAUGUCUUCUACAGUUACCCACAGUACUCUGGGGUGAAUCCUGUCAUGUCCAAUGGACUUAUUAAUAUUAAGCUGAUAAUAAUUUGUCAGUUAGUCCCCUUCAAUUUCAAUGUCCAUAAAUGGAAAGUUGGUGUUCCUGCAUUCAUUGUCCUCUGAGAAUUAGACAACCCAAGGUAGCAACAUGGACAUUAGUUCCAUCGCAGAGACAUGAGUGGCCUUUGUCCAAAGAAUGCUGCGUGGAGGGGUGAUGGCUGGUCUGUGACAAGCAAGGCUGUGCAUAGGGGACACCCUCAUGUCAUAGUGUCAUCACCCUGCAGUGCAGCAGUACCUUGGAGGGGCAGGGUAAAAGGGAGCAUCCUCCCAUGUUCCACUGUCAAGGCUGGCCUGGAGCCAGGCCACAGACAUCCAAAAGGAAGUCCUUGAGAAGACAGUGGAAUUACUUGAAGGAGGCUAGGGGUGGAAAACUGGAGGCAAGGCCAGCUGCCAGUGGCACUCAGCCUUUGGGAAACAAAUGCAAGCCCUUCAGAGGAGAACUGCCAAACCCUGUAGGUGCCUGAAGCUGUCUGGCCUUUUCAGCUGGAUAGCACUACUAAGUUCAAGUGAACACCUUCUUGAGGAGCACUGCACAGCUCUGUCCUCAGCCCCUUGUGGAGCCGGGGCAGCUGCUCUAAGAAAUAGGAUGCAGAGAGGUUGUCAGGGGUCCUAGGACUUUUUAAUAUCCACUGGUGCCUUGCCAGGAUUCUUGACCCUCAGGUUGAUCAGGCUGAGGACAUUUGGCCACUCUUGGAAGCACCAAGAUGGCUCCAGGGAGAAUAGGGUUUAGGCAUAUCCUGGAAGGCAUGACCAGGUUGUGGGAUGAGGAGUGAGGCCUUGCUCACAUGCUAAUAGCUGAUUACCAGCAAUGGCAUCAGGAGAGAAUUUUCCCUUGGGUCAGAUUGGCACUGGUUCAUGGGGGAAGGGGGAGAGAUGGGGUUGCAGGCUUGCUUCCCCAUCCAGACCUGACACUUUUCAGUUUUCUUGCCUGCAACAUAAGCACAGGGGAGGCACGAGAGUGCUUUUCAUGCAUCCCUUCCCUGGCUGGGAAGGACGGCAAUGAUCAAAUUUUGGAAGGCAAGAUUGCAAUGUGCCCGUCAUUGAUAUGUGUCAUACAUUGGAAAAUACCUCAUGAUACCACACAUAUUUUCUUCUGACCUAUAUGCCUGCUACUGUUUUCUGUAGCUCUGUCAUUUGCCUUUUCCAGACUACAAAGGAUGUGUUUUCAAGUAAGAAAUGCAUCAGCCUGCUCCUGGCUACACAUGCAUUUUGUGUUAGUGCUUGUGAGCAUCAGCUCUGAAACAGAUGGAGAAAAAUAAAAAUUGAAAUAAUAUCCUGCUUCCAGUUAUAACCUGUGUGUUAUGUGUCCUUGAAUGUGUUUUUUGGACCUCAAAACCCCCUGAUGUGUCAGACACAUAACAGUCUCACUAUCAUUUGACUCAGGGUGAGUGCAGGACAGAGCAGUUGUGCCACCCAGAGCUCUGCAUGACAAGGUCUGAGCAGGUCUGAGGGCUCCACCCCAGAGAGCAGCUCUGCAGUGCAGGUCCCAGGUCCACCCAGGAGACAGGGGCAGAGAUGGGCACAGCCACAGCAGGGCUCCGGCAGGGACCCAUGGCCCUUGGCAGGAGGUGGUGGGGCUGGGGGUCCCAGGGCAGGCCAGUCCCUGCCACUGAGGCCUGUGAGCACCACCCUGUCAGGACCAGACUUCAGUGCUCAUGUGCUCUUCUUCAGACACUGGUGGUUGGACACUUUGGAGACAGAGUAUUGGGCCAGAUGGACCUUCCCUCUGAGGGAGUGCUGCUGUCCUCAGGCUCUUGUGUUUUAGCAUGUUUUUGCAAGGGAAAAAGCUCAGACAAUUCUAAAAAUGAAUACAAAGUAAGGAAAAACAAUCCACCAGAAGAUCAAAAGGUAUUGCUCAGCAAUUGAGACAUUUGCAACCAUUUAGAUGAGAAGCACAUCCUGCACCAGACUGAAGGCUUGAUCUUUGAGCCUUGCUGGUGUCAGUGAUGUGGUGGUUUGCCAUCCUGUGAAAACCUAUCUCAGUUGAGCUGAGCUCAGUUGAAUGAAUUUUAAAAAAACACAUGCCAAUUGCUUUUUUGCAAAUUUGUGCAGAUGGUCCCUUUAUCUUGAGAUGAUCCACAGCCCUGACCCUUCUCAGAAGAAAUACACCUCCUUCCCACAAGGUGACAGAGCCAUUGCCUAGGCUGGGAGAUGGUUAUGGGUAUUCAGUGCCUUCUGCUAGUGCAGGGCUGGGAAGAAUUGUCUUCAGAGAUUUCCCCAGUGUGUACUGGUCGGGAAAGGAGCAGGUAGGAGAAGAUAGAUUUGAGUAGAAUAAAAUAGUUCAAUUUAAACAGACCUACAAUAAUCAUCCAGUCCCACUACCUGACCACUUCAGGGCUGACCAAAAGUGAAAGCAUGGCCUUAAGGGCACUGUCCAAAUGCCUUUUCAACACUCAUAGACAUGGAUUUAUUGACCAUUUCUCCAAGAGGUCUCUUCCAGGGUUUGACACCGUCUCAUAAUAAACCCAGCCAGCGCUGUCACAACAUUUCUGCAACUCUGUUUCAGUAGGGUUUGUUCCUGGGCAUUUCUUGUGUAGUUUCUGCAAAUCAAGUUAAUGUGUUUUUGAUGUUUACAUUCUAAGUCAAUAAUAUAUGUGGUUUCAUCUGAAACUUAAACCAGUGCAUACUCCAGUUUAUGGGAACUUUGGAGGCAUUACAAGGGUUGUAAAGGAGGAGAUUCUAGGAAGGAAACAGUAAACUUCCAUCUGGAAGGGAUUUUUGUGAUUCUGUACAAGUCCUGUUCUGUAACAACAUCUGCUCUGAGGCAGGAGACAAGUAUGUGGAAGAAUAUUAUUGUGAAAGGCAUGUUACAUCUAUUAUAGCUGUGCUGACCUGCUUACAAUGUGAUGACAUGGUUCUAGCAGCCUCAGGUUCAUAAUAGCAAUCUACUGUCUAAUGGUUUAAAAUGUUGGCCACACAGAUAUUAUAAAAUGUAUUGUACUGAAGUCAUUACAGUAUUAUGACUGGUCUUGACAUUUGGGGCUCUGCUGGCACAAGCACACACAAUGAUGAUGCAACUCCACCUCUGAAGAGCUAAUUCCUAAUCUCUGAGUUUAUAAACAAAACCAAUAAAAAGUCACUAAUUUCUCAUCUGGAUAGUAUGGUCUAAACUAUAUAGAUGAUAUUUUUCUACCUUCAGGUUCAAGUAUAAUGAAAACUUGAAUUUCCUUUUUUAAAAGUUCUCUCUUUUUUUAAUAGAAAUUAUAGAAAAAAUGGAGUACAAGUGGUCACCUGGCCCAUCCUACUAAACAAAAGUGGAAUCAACUGUACUUAAAAUUAUUCCUCAGGAAUGAUUUGCUUGCCAGCCUUUUUAAGUUUGUAAUGAGAGAUUUUGCAGGUUCCCUAAAUUGAUCUGUACCUUUGCUUAGGCACCUCCAGUCAGAAAGUUCUCUUCUCAUAGAAUGCAAAUGUCUUUUUUUUGCAGUUCAAGCUUCCUUGUUGUAAACAAAUGUGUUGUUUCUUCUUGCCUCAAAAUUUAGAAGUGUUUUUCAUCUUUUGUCAGCAUUCCCUCUGAUCUAACUGGAGUUAUCACAUGACUCUUUCAAUCAGAUGAAACAGUAGCUCUUAAUAAAAUAUUGAUUGCUUUCACUUGUUUUAGUUUCUAAUGUACAGGUUAAAAGACAGAGGUAAAUUUUGGUUGUCUGGGUGAGAAGCAUGGAAGAAAAGGGAAAGAAAACCUAAGGUACCUUCCUGUUACGUUCUCGUAUGAUAUUUUCCCUACUUUGUUAUCUUUGUAAUCUGUUUCUCCUUUCCCAGUUUCCCCCAUAUAUGUAGUAUUAACCACGAUCCUGUAAGUUGUCACAUAAUGCACUCUUUCUCAUUGUCACUUAGUUUCCACAAGACAAGGAAGUGCUGUUUCUUAAGUGUUAAGGGGGUCCCCAGCUCUGUGUUCAUUGGCCAAAGCAUUAUUAGUAUCAAGGUGGCCUCAUCUUCUGUUUUUGCUUGACAAUUUCAUCUUUUAUCUCUUAUUCUUUCCCAUUUCCUUUUUAGUUCUUUAGCAGGGGUCCCUUCCUCUACUGUUCUCUCUACGCUUUACUUAAAUCCUCUCUUAAAAUUAAAGUAAAUUUUUAAAAAAUCUACUAAAUUGUUGGGUUUGUUUCUGGACUGCCUUCUUCACUACAUCUCGCCCGUCUAGCAGAUCAUCUAUUUGGCAUUGUUAUAUUAUCUAAGACUUAAUGUUUCUGACAAGGACUGCCCCAUGGUAGCUGUCAGUGGUCUGCAGACACUGCACAGUGCAUGCCACCUUUCUGUUGCGACACUAUUAAGAGUGAGACCAUAUUGGCACAUAGAGGAGAAAUGCUGAGGUGGUGAUAACCUGUGUAUCUGGGAAUUGCUGGAAUUUCUGGUCUGGAUUGAUCACCAGUGCCUGCAUUUUAGGAUGUGCUCUGAACUCUAGUGCAACCAGUUGUUGUAGAUGGCAAAGGGUGAGAGAGCAGUAGAUGAGUGCAGGAAAGGAGAAUACGAGUUGCUUUUCACCUCAGUGGCCCAAGUUUUAUUCACUGGCUAGGAGGAACAGUGAAGAAAACUGGCCAGCAUCUGUCAUAGCAGGAUAUUUCAGCUGAGAUAAAUGGCAGAGAAAAGCAGUCUAGGUACAAGGUGGGGGUGAGCAUGGAGGGGAGAGCAGCAUGCCUAUGCUCACCUUUCCUGCAACACACCUGUCCAGGCUGUGGGGAGUGUCUCUAAAUGGCUUGUCAAGCCAGUGUGGGAUGAUGGACAGUAUACUGACCUUGGGAGAAAACAAAAAUAAAGGGUGGAAAAGGCCCUUUAAUACAGUUUUUGCAGUUGCCUAUAUGAAUAGGAUUGUAGCUCCCUGAACUCACCUGAAGAUGCCAGGGGGAUUUUUCACUUGCCUAAAAUAUACACAGGGGGAUUCACACCCCCCCCACCCAAACC